rnacentral:lncRNA from 1 species
UUUCUGGACCAGAUUUACACAAUAAAGAUUAGUUUCGACUAACAAAGCAGAAGGGAAAAACAACAUCCAUAAAGGGGCAUACGAGCUGGAUCAGAUCCCAAGGGACUUCCGUUCCUGGCCAACCUUUCAUCCAAAGUGAUCCGUUCACUAGAAAAACUAUGGGUAUACGACUUAAGCAGGAGUGGGUCUGCGCAAACCUGAGUAUGAUGUCAAAAAUACCUAAGUCCCUGCACAUAGCCACAAGCUCAAACAUGUGCAGGGUGUCCAGUACGAAAUAUGUCUAAACCUGCAUCAAAAACACUACGUGCUACGAACGAUGCAGGGGAAUGAAGUACAUUUGCCAAGUACUGUGCAAACCUCAUGGUAAGUACAUGGAGCAAAAAGUGUGGGCCCACACACUAAUCUCUAUUUGACCAAACAUAGAAAGUAGAAAAGUCUGGUGAAUGAGUCACUCCUCCAGGUAGACUCACACCAGCAAACAAUAAAAAACUGGGAGUGGCUUUUCUACAGAAAGCAGAGUGAAGCAUAACAAGAUCUUGAUAGUGGCUUACUUCCGAGUAAGCAGAAAGCGAAUCCUAAGCCGAGAUCGAUAGUAGCUUGCCCAAGGAUAGUGGAAUGCAAUCUCGAAGAAAACAACCUCCGGGUUUAACCUCCAGGUUUAAAUAAAGCAAACCUCCAGGUUCAACCACCGGGUUCUAAACAAAUCAACCUCCGGGUUCAUCCUCCUGGUUUUAAGCAAAUCCUCCGGGUUUAAAUAAAGCAAACCUCCGGGUUCAACCUCCGGGUUUAAAUAAAGCAAACCUACUGGUUCAAACCUUCGGGUCUUGAGUAAGAAAACCUCCAGAUUCAACCUCCGGGUUAAACCUUUACGUUUAGAGCGACCUUCGGGUUCAACCUAUGGAUCUGACAUCCCGAC